UAGGGAAUCUUCCACAAUGGACGCAAGUCUGAUGGAGCAACGCCGCGUGAGUGAAGAAGGUUUUCGGAUCGUAAAGCUCUGUUGUUGGUGAAGAAGGAUAGAGGCAGUAACUGGUCUUUAUUUGACGGUAAUCAACCAGAAAGUCACGGCUAACUACGUGCCAGCAGCCGCGGUAAUACGUAGGUGGCAAGCGUUGUCCGGAUUUAUUGGGCGUAAAGCGAGCGCAGGCGGAAUGAUAAGUCUGAUGUGAAAGCCCACGGCUCAACCGUGGAACUGCAUCGGAAACUGUCACUCUUGAGUGCAGAAGAGGAGAGUGGAACUCCAUGUGUAGCGGUGGAAUGCGUAGAUAUAUGGAAGAACACCAGUGGCGAAGGCGGCUCUCUGGUCUGCAACUGACGCUGAGGCUCGAAAGCAUGGGUAGCGAACAGGAUUAGAUACCCUGGUAGUCCAUGCCGUAAACGAUGAGCGCUAGGUGUUGGGGACUUUCCGGUCCUCAGUGCCGCAGCAAACGCAUUAAGCGCUCCGCCUGGGGAGUACGACCGCAAGGUUGAAACUCUAAAGUGAAUUGAC
rnacentral:rRNA from 1 species